AUUGUUGGAGACAGUGUGGGCAUGAAUGUGCUAAUCCCUCUCAUAUUUUCUAGACAUGUACAAAAUUGAAGUCUUUCUGGGAAAAGCUUUUUGAAAUGAUUGAGGGCAUUAUGACUUUCGCAAUUCCUAAGGACCCCAAAUUUGUAACAUUUUUUUUGCU